rnacentral:rRNA from 1 species
UACAGAGGUCUCAAGCGUUGUUCGGAUUCAUUGGGCGUAAAGGGUGCGUAGGCGGCGCGGUAAGUCGGGUGUGAAAUCUCGGGGCUUAACUCCGAAACUGCAUUCGAUACUGGCGUGCUUGAGGACUGGAGAGGAGACUGGAAUUCAUGGUGUAGCAGUGAAAUGCGCAGAUAUCAGGAGGAACACCGGUGGCGAAGGCGGGUCUCUGGGCCGAUACUGACGCUGAGGAGCGAAAGCGUGGGGAGCGAACAGG